AUAACAUUCUCGCCUCCCUUCCUCCUGCCCCCAAGCAACCACAGCAGUCUGUCUGUCCAUCCUGUCUGUUAGCUUUGCCUCGUCUAAAACCUGGGCGGAAAUGGAAUCAGAGUGGAGUACUAGUUCUCUGUGGACGAGACAAGACACAAAGCGAUAGAACCCAAGAUUUGCAUGCAAGCCGGGCAAGUGCUCUACCACCGAGCCACACCCCCCGGGGCCCUGCCUUCCGUUCGGCUGCAAUAAUAAACCAGUUGGAGUCACUCAGCUGUCAGGACCUAUAUCAACAUGUCAGCCGCUUGAACAAACAUGCGUUGCAAGUGGAAAUAUUUCAGAUAAACAGACAUGAUGUUAUGACAUGGCAAACCCCAACCCAACCCUGGGGAGGAGGCAGAGACCCAGGAGAAGACAGAGGGAAGCAGAGCCGCUGGACGAUCUGUUUUCCAUGGCUGAGGCCCUGGAGGGUCAGCUGUAAAUAAAAUCGAGUUUUGAUUA